GAUAUACUCCCUCCGUCCCAAAUUUUUUGUCUUAGAUUUAUUUAGAUAUGAAUGUAUCUAGUCAAGUUUUAGUAUUUUGAUACAUCCAUUUCUAGACAAAGCUAAGACAAGAAUUGUGAGACGGAGGGAGUAUGUA
rnacentral:pre_miRNA from 1 species